rnacentral:rRNA from 1 species
UACACUCCUGCGGGAGGCAGCAGUGGGGAAUAUUGCACAAUGGGCGCAAGCCUGAUGCAGCCAUGCCGCGUGUGUGAAGAAGGCCUUCGGGUUGUAAAGCACUUUCAGCGGGGAGGAAGGCGAUACGGUUAAUAACCGUGUUGAUUGACGUUACCCGCAGAAGAAGCACCGGCUAACUCCGUGCCAGCAGCCGCGGUAAUACGGAGGGUGCAAGCGUUAAUCGGAAUUACUGGGCGUAAAGCGCACGCAGGCGGUCUGUCAAGUCGGAUGUGAGAUCCCCGGGCUCAACCUGGGAACUGCAUUCGAAACUGGCAGGCUUGAGUCUUGUAGAGGGGGGUAGAAUUCCAGGUGUAGCGGUGAAAUGCGUAGAGAUCUGGAGGAAUACCGGUGGCGAAGGCGGCCCCCUGGACAAAGACUGACGCUCAGGUGCGAAAGCGUGGGGAGCAAACAGGAUUAGAAACCCCAGUAGUCCCAUGAU